GGGUUGUGAGGUUAAGCGACUAAGCGUACACGGUGGAUGCCCUGGCAGUCAGAGGCGAUGAAGGACGUGCUAAUCUGCGAUAAGCGUCGGUAAGGUGAUAUGAACCGUUAUAACCGGCGAUUUCCGAAUGGGGAAACCCAGUGUGUUUCGACACACUAUCAUUAACUGAAUCCAUAGGUUAAUGAGGCGAACCGGGGGAACUGAAACAUCUAAGUACCCCGAGGAAAAGAAAUCAACCGAGAUUCCCCCAGUAGCGGCGAGCGAACGGGGAGCAGCCCAGAGCCUGAAUCAGUGUGUGUGUUAGUGGAAGCGUCUGGAAAGGCGCGCGAUACAGGGUGACAGCCCCGUACACAAAAAUGCACAUGCUGUGAGCUCGAUGAGUAGGGCGGGACACGUGGUAUCCUGUCUGAAUAUGGGGGG
rnacentral:rRNA from 1 species